rnacentral:misc_RNA from 1 species
UUUCCGUAGGUGAACCUGCGGAAGGAUCAUUAUUGUAUAACCGAGGUGCGAGGGCUGUCGCUGACCCGAAAGGUCGUGCACGCCCGAGUACUCUCACACACAUCCAUCUCACCCCUAUGUGCACCACCGCGUGGGUCCCCCUUUGGCUUGUUCGGAGGGGGGCUUACGUUUUCACACAAACUUUGUAUGCAGUGUAGAAUGUAUUUUUUGUUUUUGCGAUCACGCAAUCAAUACAACUUUCAACAACGGAUCUCUUGGCUCUCGCAUCGAUGAAGAGCGCAGC